CUAAGGAUGGGUCUUCAGAGCUUGCUCUAUCGACCUGUUUUAAGAAACAUCAGUGGCCAGGCAUUGGAUCAAUGUUUGAGCUGCAUUGGCGGGACACCGCCGUCUUCGUUUCUCUUUCUUCGCGGACGAACACACGCUGGGGCGUGCUCGUAACGCUUCUCGCUCGAUCGCAAGGUCGUGCUGAGCGUUGAGCAUUGGCUCUAAGUUGUUAGGGCUUGUAGCUCAGUUGGUUAGAGCGCGCGCUUGAUAAGCGUGAGGUCGGAAGUUCAAGUCUUCCCAGGCCCACCAGCCUUCGCUCGCGCAAGCGAGCUAAGGCUGUCACGCUGAAGCCCAUCUUGGGCGUAAGCGGACUUCGGCAGCGCGAGCUUCGGCUCGGCAAGCCAGCCUGACAACGGAUUGGUUCUGACCUUAAGCAUCUUACUUAGCUUCGUCUCUGGAACGGGGGCAUAGCUCAGCUGGGAGAGCGCGUGCUUUGCAAGCAUGAGGUCGUCGGUUCGAUCCCGUCUGCCUCCACCAGAAACGGUUUGAGGUUCGGGACUAACAAUCAAAUACACGCUGUGUUCGCAGUGAGCGCCAAUAUGGGCAGCUCCUGAUAGGUCCGCAUAUAACUUCGCAUCGAGCUCUUCGUGAGUUCGACUGCGGGAUUUAUGACAUCGUAAAGAGGAAAUCGAUCCGAACAGGAUCCUGGAGCUUAGGCUUGAGGAUUGCUGUGUAAUCUCCCGGAUCAGAACGAACGCUUGUGAGUUUAACGACUUGCUCGCUUCCGUGGCUGAUCCGUUCUGAUGGAGCUUGACCGCCCCAUCAUCGGUUCGAUUUUGAGAAGCAAAUAACUGGUCUUUCUAAAUCAUAUCCAGCUGCUUGAAGUUCGUGAUGCUUGACCGCGUCGCGGGCGGAUCUUGCGUUUCCAACUUGUUGGGAGAGGUGAGGCAGCUUGCAGCAAACUCUGCCGAGUGUGUGGAUAUUGAUAAUGAGAGC
rnacentral:tRNA from 1 species